AUAUCAAGUGAUGAUUUGGAUUAGUCAUCUCACGACGGUCGUCUGAUGGAACUUAAUUGUUCUUCUUCUGAUGUAUACAACAAUCCAUUUUUCUGAUGAAU
rfam:Spinacia oleracea cultivar SynViroflay scaffold39361.con0005.1, whole genome shotgun sequence.